rnacentral:lncRNA from 1 species
AUGAGUGUCAAUAAUGGAUUUGAACAUGAGCUGCCAACAAGCUGGAUGAACUGUUUGUCUGUCACAUUCACUGAAUAUCCUGAAGUAUCCUUGACAAGAAAGUUGCUGAAUCACAUCACUGUGCAGAGUACAUUCCUCAAAUGGCCUUUCUCUAAUGAUGGAAAAAAAAAUAAGCAAAAAAGAAAGCAGAAGCAAACCUGCAUUAAAAGUCAAAUGAUGAACCAACCAUAUUAUGAGGAAAAGUAAUAUAAUGCAGAAGCUUUUGGUACAGAUUUCUGUCAUGCUCAGCAAACACAAAUCUGUCUAGGAUGGACCUUCUGGGCUUUACAGCCAUACAAAUAACCACCAGCUUUCUGGACCUUCACUACAGGUAUACAUGGCUUAAAGACUUAAAAAUUUUUGUGUAUGCAUGUGUGAAUUCAAAUACAUGUAAUGUUCUGUUCAGUUACUUAGCCUCUACUGACAAUAACUAACUAUGACAUUUCUGCAUAUUCUGUCUUCUGAACAGGCUCUGCUUAAUACUGCUUCUCUUAUGUUGUCUGUGACAUGGUUAGCCUUUCUUUAGUUUUUAUUUUUGUUCAACAGGAAAUGCCAGGCUUUUCUGAGUUCAUCUUUCUUUUUCUUCUAGGCACUGCUCUAUUACUUUGGCUGUAGGUGUUGGAAGAUGAAAUUCUGCUCAUCUUCCAGGCAAGCAAAUCCCCAUCCUGAAAUGUGCAGAUAAACUGCUAAAAUGCUGGGACAGAUAGAUUGGGGGAAACACUAAGAAAUUCCAGACUUCCUGUAUGGCACCAAGUGUGAACACAAAGAAGAGGGGUGAACAGAAGGACGGUAGGUGUGAAUCUGCAGCUCUCUUGUCCAUCCCCUGAGAGGCAGGUCUGGUGCUGCUCUCCUUGUUUGCAGGGCAACUGCUCUGGCCCUUGCGUAGGGCUGUGCUCCCUAUGACAUUUUCCUCCU